CUGAGAGGAUGAUCAGCCACACUGGGACUGAGACACGGACCAGACUCCUACGGGAGGCAGCAGUGGGGAAUAUUGGACAAUGGGCGCAAGCCUGAUGCAGCCAUGCCGCGUGAGUGAUGAAGGCCUUAGGGUUGUAAAGCUCUGUCGGUAGGGAAGAUAAUGACGGUACCUACCGAAGAAGCCCCGGCUAACUUCGUGCCGGCAGCCGCGGGAAUACGAAGGGGGCUAGCGGUGCGCGGAUUUACUGGGCGUAAAGCGCACGGAGGCGGA
rnacentral:rRNA from 1 species